CGUGAAGCCCCCCUCAAGAGGAGAUUUCCCAUUUCUUCGAAAAGUAAGAUCCCGGAAAGAUGAUAAUGUAGAUAGGUAUGGAGUGGAAGUGUAGCGAUACAUGGAGCAGACAAAUACUAAUCGAUCGAGGACUUAACCAAAA
rnacentral:rRNA from 1 species